rnacentral:rRNA from 1 species
UUCUCCCCGAAAGCUAUUUAGGUAGCGCCUUGUGAAUUCAUCUCCGGGGGUAGAGCACUGUUUCGGCAAGGGGGUCAUCCCGACUUACCAACCCGAUGCAAACUGCGAAUACCGGAGAAUGUUAUCACGGGAGACACACGGCGGGUGCUAACGUCCGUCGUGAAGAGGGAAACAACCCAGACCGCCAGCUAAGGUCCCAAAGUCAUGGUUAAGUGGGAAACGAUGUGGGAAGGCCCAGACAGCCAGGAUGUUGGCUUAGAAGCAGCCAUCAUUUAAAGAAAGCGUAAUAGCUCACUGGUCGAGUCGGCCUGCGCGGAAGAUGUAACGGGGCUAAACCAUGCACCGAAGCUGCGGCAGCGACGCUGAUGCGUUGUUGGGUAGGGGAGCGUUCUGUAAGCCUGUGAAGGUGUGCUGUGAGGCAUGCUGGAGGUAUCAGAAGUGCGAAUGCUGACAUAAGUAACGAUAAAGCGGGUGAAAAGCCCGCUCGCCGGAAGACCAAGGGUUCCUGUCCAACGUUAAUCGGGGCAGGGUGAGUCGACCCCUAAGGCGAGGCCGAAAGGCGUAGUCGAUGGGAAACAGGUUAAUAUUCCUGUACUUGGUGUUACUGCGAAGGGGGGACGGAGAAGGCUAUGUUGGCCGGGCGACGGUUGUCCCGGUUUAAGCGUGUAGGCUGGUUUUCCAGGCAAAUCCGGAAAACUAAGGCUGAGGCGUGAUGACGAGGCACUACGGUGCUGAAGCAACAAAUGCCCUGCUUCCAGGAAAAGCCUCUAAGCAUCAGGUAACAUCAAAUCGUACCCCAAACCGACACAGGUGGUCAGGUAGAGAAUACCAAGGCGCUUGAGAGAACUCGGGUGAAGGAACUAGGCAAAAUGGUGCCGUAACUUCGGGAGAAGGCACGCUGAUAUGUAGGUGAAGUCCCUCGCGGAUGGAGCUGAAAUCAGUCGAAGAUACCAGCUGGCUGCAACUGUUUAUUAAAAACACAGCACUGUGCAAACACGAAAGUGGACGUAUACGGUGUGACGCCUGCCCGGUGCCGGAAGGUUAAUUGAUGGGGUCAGCGCAAGCGAAGCUCUUGAUCGAAGCCCCGGUAAACGGCGGCCGUAACUAUAACGGUCCUAAGGUAGCGAAAUUCCUUGUCGGGUAAGUUCCGACCUGCACGAAUGGCGUAAUGAUGGCCAGGCUGUCUCCACCCGAGACUCAGUGAAAUUGAACUCGCUGUGAAGAUGCAGUGUACCCGCGGCAAGACGGAAAGACCCCGUGAACCUUUACUAUAGCUUGACACUGAACAUUGAGCCUUGAUGUGUAGGAUAGGUGGGAGGCUUUGAAGUGUGGACGCCAGUCUGCAUGGAGCCGACCUUGAAAUACCACCCUUUAAUGUUUGAUGUUCUAACGUUGACCCGUAAUCCGGGUUGCGGACAGUGUCUGGUGGGUAGUUUGACUGGGGCGGUCUCCUCCUAAAGAGUAACGGAGGAGCACGAAGGUUGGCUAAUCCUGGUCGGACAUCAGGAGGUUAGUGCAAUGGCAUAAGCCAGCUUGACUGCGAGCGUGACGGCGCGAGCAGGUGCGAAAGCAGGUCAUAGUGAUCCGGUGGUUCUGAAUGGAAGGGCCAUCGCUCAACGGAUAAAAGGUACUCCGGGGAUAACAGGCUGAUACCGCCCAAGAGUUCAUAUCGACGGCGGUGUUUGGCACCUCGAUGUCGGCUCAUCACAUCCUGGGGCUGAAGUAGGUCCCAAGGGUAUGGCUGUUCGCCAUUUAAAGUGGUACGCGAGCUGGGUUUAGAACGUCGUGAGACAGUUCGGUCCCUAUCUGCCGUGGGCGCUGGAGAACUGAGGGGGGCUGCUCCUAGUACGAGAGGACCGGAGUGGACGCAUCACUGGUGUUCGGGUUGUCAUGCCAAUGGCACUGCCCGGUAGCUAAAUGCGGAAGAGAUAAGUGCUGAAAGCAUCUAAGCACGAAACUUGCCCCGAGAUGAGUUCUCCCUGACUCCUUGAGAGUCCUGAAGGAACGUUGAAG